rnacentral:rRNA from 1 species
UACGUAGGGGGCGAGCGUUGUCCGGAAUGACUGGGCGUAAAGGGUGUGUAGGCGGUUUAUUAAGUUAGAAGUGAAAUACCUAGGGCUUAACCCAGGUGCUGCUUCUAAAACUGAUAGACUUGAGUGCAGUAGAGGUGGGCGGAAUUCGUGGUGUAGCGGUGAAAUGCUUAGAUAUCACGAAGAACUCCGAUUGCGAAGGCAGCUCACUGGACUGCAACUGACACUGAGGCUCGAAAGUGUGGGUAUCAAACAGG